CUCAAACCCCAGAGACCAUCCAUCCAAAAGAGGAAAGACAAUGAAGAAUAUGAGCUCUCAUGUGAACAGAUGGAAGACUGUAUUUGAAAACUACUGUCAUGUACUGAAUCUUUCCUGUUGAAGAAAUUCCAUGUUAUAGUAAAGAAUUUUGCAGACAUUCGUCGUUUGAAAAGUUCGAAAAAAAAUAAAGUCCUUUUACGGGAACUUCUUCAAUUUUGUGUAUUAAUGUUCUUUAAAAGUUUAAGUAUUCUACAAAAAAAAGUUUCCUUCAUUGAUUUUCAUCUGUGGUUCAUACCAGAGACCUGAGAAUGUUUGUAAAUGUACAAGUAUCAACUUCUUACAGUUAAUAACUGCAACUUUGCUGCUGGACACUUGUAUACUGAGUUAAAGACAGGUCUGAGUAAGACCUAGCUGUGUUUUGUUUUUUUUUAAUGGAAUGAACCAUUUUCUUCCUCCGAAAAUUCUGUAUCUGAGCACAUCAAGAGACUCUUGUAGCAGUGGUCACCCAGACUUACAGAAUUAUGUCCUCCAGAAACCAGCAAGAACACUUGGAAAUGAACUUAUAGGGGACAUAGAGGAUUCCUAAAAAAAAUCAAUAAAUCAAAGAGUAAUAUCCUAUUACAUUUGAUUUUAAACGAAGUGUGGUUUUUCUCCUGAAGAUUUUUUUCACAUACUUCCGAAAGACCAACAAAUGGAUGUUGACAACAACCCAGUGAAAUAACAUUUUGCAUAUCUGAAAAGAAGCAUUGAAUAUAUGCCAAAAGGUUUCACCGAAGGUCUUUUUUCUUAAAAAAAAUAAAUGUAACAUGUUUUCAUUCCAAACUGGUAGUGGUAUAUAGAAUUUAAAAGAAUAAUGAUGCUUCUUAUUCAAAAUGUUGGUCACAUGUACAGUAUAUAAACAUAAAACAUACAAGGAAGGUAUUAUGUAUGCAGUAGUAUACUAGAGUUUAGGAAAAUGAGAAUUUUAGAAAAUAUGUUUUGUCACCCUGUUAGUCAGAAAGACACCUUUCUGGUUUUAACGCAUGCAGGCAUGUAAAUAUUUGUCUGGAGUCACAGUAUUAAUGAAUGAGAUCUUAAGCAUCUGGUGACAUCAGAACUCUGUGUCAGCCACUUUUAUUUGUAUAUGGAACCCUAGUUAGUGCCCCAAACUGCACUAUGGAGAAUGGAUUGUGGCUGAACAGUAAAUCAAAACACCAGAAAUAUUUUUAUAUGUUAAUGUCAUAUUAUGUUAAUGUUGCUGAAAAACAGAAACCUAACAAACCCUUGAUGUAUCAGUCCAAUACCAUGUAGCGCUGAGUGAUAAAGUUAAAAUGUGUUGUGCUUCCCACCCGGUCAGAGGGAAGGGUGCCUAUGUGUUAUUUUCACUGUCUUUUUGAAAGUUACAGUAUGUGUUUUCACUUUUGUGCAGAUAACUGGAAGUAAAGCUGCAAACAGUGCUUAUUACACACUGACGUUACUUUCUCUUUGUUUUUACUAAUCUGGAGUUAACACCUUUCAAGACUGAUUUUAUGAAUCAGUACAGUCGCUGUACAUUUUAUGAUUUUGCUGUCAUAAAAUUUUAUGAUCGUAACAUUAUUUAUUACCAUGAAUAGCAAAAUCCUAAAUGUCCAAGAAAACUAGCUUAAACAUGUUUAAAGAUAGUUCCGACUGGGUAUUAAUUAUUCGGUUAAGAAAAGAAAUUAACACCAUAGAUACUCUGGCACUAAGCUUCUAUAGUUUGUAGGUCUUCUUUGCAAUACUGGAACAUGUUUCCUUUGUGUAGUUCACUAUUAACCAGCUAAGUCCAUUUUUUAAUACAAUAAUAAAGUUAUAUAUACAGUUCCUAUUUUAACUUGCUUGAAAGGGAGCAAUAUUUUUAUUUAAAAUACUGUUAGUAAAUGCUUUGUAGAAACUUGGUUUCCUAUGCAUAGUUCUUCCAUAACCCUCUUUUGUUGUUGGAGCACAAGAGAUUCUAUUCCUUGUUUGUAUUUCCUGCUUUUCCCUGUAUGCAGUCUUUAAAGGAUUACAAGAUUUACAAUUGGAUGGACUUGUGGCAAGCUUUUGAAUCAUACAUUUUUUAAGAGAUUUUUUAAAAAGCCCACAACUGAACCUAACUCGUUAGAAUCAGCCAUUGCUCUGCUCCUUGCAUAGAGUCACCUGGUAAGUAGGUUAAAUAGUUUUAAAAUACAUCCUUUCAAGACCUUUGAGAAUGCUUUAGUGUUUGGUUUGAUGUAAAAGGUAUUUUAGCAAGGAUUAAAGAAAGAAGCUAUCAGCUAUAUGUUAAGAGAAAAUCUUACUAACAUGUUGUAAAUAUUACAAUUCAUGAAAUGUUAUUUUAAGUCUGUAACUUAAGUUUUUUUUUCCCUUUUUUAGUUAUACAGGUUGGUUUGAAAUUUGUUUGUUUUCAGGUUUUUUUUGGUAUAAACAAGUAAAAUUGUGCCCAUUUUAUGGUUUCCAUGCUUUUGUAAUCCUAAAAAUAUUAAUGUCUAGUUGUUCUAUAUUAUAACCACAUUUGCGCUCUAUGCAAGCCCUUGGAACAGAACAUACUCAUCUUCAUGUAGGACCUAUGAAAAUUGUCUAUUUUUAUCUAUAUAUUUAAAGUUUUCUAAAAAUGAUAAAAGGUUAUUACGAAUUUUGUUGUACAAAAUCUGUACAAAAAUCUGUUUUUACAUCAUAAUGCAAGAAUUGGAAAUUUUUCUAUGGUAGCCUAGUUCUUUGAGCCUGGUUUCAAUGUGAGAACCACGUUUACUGUUAUUGUAUUUAAUUUUCUUUUUUUCUUUUCAACAAUCUCCUAAUAAAACUGUCUGAAAUCUCCCCGUGACUUUAUUUACAGUUCGUCUUUAUUAAAUUUUGUGAAAUGCAUAGCAUUGAA